CCGCGAAGCUCCCGGCUCGCUCGAAAUUUGUUGCAUUUCCUCGAUUGAUUGUUUAGUUAGAGAUUUUGCCAACUUCCUGAUGGUUCAGUUUUGUGAUUCUGCGAAAAGAACCGCAUUUCCUUUUUGACUUAAGAGGGAGAGAGAGGAGGGAGAGGAGCGGAGGCUGGGGGCUGGCGGACUCAUCGAGCUGGGUACAGCAGGGAUUCACAACAUCGGUUCUCAACCUUUCCCUUAUUUCUUCAUGGGAGGAAGUGAAGUGGCAAGGCUCCCAGCUAGACACAUUUGUCGUCUCAGUGUGGAGGAAUAAUUGGAGCACGGCUCCUGUUAGGGAGUUGUGCAAAAGGAACCUUCUUCAGAUCUUUCUUUUUCUUUUCUCUUUCUUUUUCUUUUUCUUUUUCUUUUUUUUUUUUUUCCAGAAACAAAGAUUUAAAAGUGCAGCUCCAGUUUAAACACCCCUUAUAGCCAGACAGCAAAGCUGUGGACAAUCAAUGGAUGUACUUUUAUGUGCAUGCAGCAGAUAAUGUCAUUUACGAGCACAGAAGGCUUCUGGGCUCUGCAACAGCUGGUGGUAUGACAGAGGUCUCAUUCCUGAUGUGCAAAGGGGAGCUGGCAUGAAUGGAACAGGUGGAAGAUGGGGAGAACAAUUCAACCCAGAUCUCUGACUCCUCACUGCAUCCAAAUGUGGUGAAGUUCCAAACAGCACUGAUGCAAGAGAGUUCUGCUUGUCCUGGCCUGAUCAUGAAUGAUCCUGACACCCUCUGACUUUUUCCUGUAACAAAUAUUUAGGGAGAAAUGAAAGAAUUUGAAUAAAUGGUACGAAAAAAUGGAGAUCUAAAAUACAGGACACCAUUGUAUAGAUGGGGAAAAGAUUUAAUGCAACACUGACCACUUUCCUCAUGUAUGUGAGUCCACUUGUCAUGAGGUUACUCCCUGAUAUUUUGCCCAGUGGAGAAUACGGAGAGUGGGAAAGAGCAAAUCUUUCCCAGGGAGGAGUAAAACUCAAACCUCAGCUUCUCAAACAGACAGAAGGAACAAGGAGGGAUGAUGCCAUGCAGAGAGAGAUUCCCCGGCCAUUUAUUGCACUCUGUUGCUUCCUUGGCGAGGGCAGUGCAGAUGGGGACAACCAAAGCACCCUGUUCCUCCUGUGCUCCCUCUGAGCUCCUGCUGAGCUGUGUUGUGAUAUCUAUCACAGGGCGUCCAUAUCCUAACACUCCCCUUGUCCUUUACCUUGUUUAGCCUUUUCGCCAUCAUGAAAUAAUGUUCACAAUGGCAAGAACACAAAAUAGCUCAUAAUGUGCCUCAAACUGUGAGAAAAGCGCAUUCGAUCCUCCCCAAACACAGACCUGCUCACUUCAAAGGCGGCAAUAUUUUGAUAGUAAUCAACAUCGCGUUUUCUUCCCUUUCCUGGCCCAACGUGUCUAUUUGCUCAGGCACUCUUUCCGUCCAUCCAGAAAAUUCAAUGUGUCCAAAGCACACACGGGGCUGAGCAAUGAUCCCAGGCAAUGCCUGAGCAAAGCAGCCCCAGGUAUGAUCCCAGUGACCUGGCUGCUAUAGUGCUGCCACCCCAUGGCAUGGGAUUUGCUCCUGGGUUGUUUUAUUUGUGGCUAAAACACUAAGUGAGUGAAGAAACAUCCUCUCUGCCUUAGAGACAGUGAAAUAGGAACAAACAACAGAAUUACAGUCUCAACAUGUGAUCUAUAGCUCCCUGGAGGAAGAUGUCCCUCACGCCAUCCCCAUACAUGGCACAUCUUCAAAUGAUGGACUGGGGAGAACCGACUAUCUUCAGUUCUCAGAUACUGUGAUAAAUGAUUAAUAAAGAAUCAGAUUGAAACCAAA
rnacentral:lncRNA from 1 species